rnacentral:lncRNA from 1 species
GUAUAUGUGUUGGAGGUGUCUGUGUUGGAGGUGUCUGUGUUGGAGGUGUCUGUGUGAUGUGUGUCUGUGUUGGAGGUGUCUGUGUGGGGUGUGUCUGUGUUGGAGGUAUCUGUGUUGGAGGUGUCUGUGUUGGAGGUAUCUGUGUUGGAGGUGUCUGUGUUGGAGGUAUCUGUGUUGGGUGUGUCUGUGUUGGAGGUAUUUGUGUUGGAGGUAUCUGUGUUGGAGGUAUCUGUGUUGGAGGUGUGUGUCUGUGUUGGAGGUAUCUGUGUUGGAGGUGUCUGUGUGAUGUGUGUCUGUGUUGGAGGUGUCUGUGUGGGGUGUGUCUGUGUUGGAGGUAUCUGUGUUGGAGGUGUCUGUGUUGGAGGUAUCUGUGUUGGAGGUGUCUGUGUUGGAGGUAUCUGUGUUGGGUGUGUCUGUGUUGGAGGUAUUUGUGUUGGAGGUAUCUGUGUUGGAGGUGUGUGUCUGUGUUGGAGGUAUCUGUGUUGGAGGUGUCUGUGUGAUGUGUGUCUGUGUUGGAGGUGUCUGUGUGGGGUGUGUCUGUGUUGGAGGUAUCUGUGUUGGAGGUGUCUGUGUGAUGUGUGUCUGUGUUGGAGGUAUCUGUGUGGGGUGUGUCUGUGUUGGAGGUAUCUGUGUUGGAGGUGUCUGUGUUGGAGGUAUCUGUGUUGGAGGUGUCUGUGUUGGAGGUGUCUGUGUUGGAGGUAUCUGUGUUGGAGGUGUCUGUGUUGGUGGUAUCUGUGUUGGAGGUAUCUGUGUUGGAGGUGUGUGUCUGUGUUAGAGGUAUCUGUGUUGGAGGUGUCUGUGUUGGAGGUGUCUGUGUGGGGUGUGUCUGUGUUGGAGGUGUCUGUGUUGGAGGUGUCUGUGUUGGUGGUGUCUGUGUCGGAGGUGUCUGUGUUGGAGGUGUCUGUGUUGGAGGUGUCUGUGUUGGUGGUGUCUGUGUCGGAGGUGUCUGUGUUGGAGGUGUCUGUGUUGGAGGUGUCUGUGUUGGUGGUAUCUGUGUUGGUGGUGUCUGUGUCGGAGGUGUCUGUGUUGGAGGUGUCUGUGUUGGAGGUGUCUGUGUUGGAGGUGUCUGUGUUGGAGCUGUCUGUGUUGGAGGUAUCUGUGUUGGAGCUGUCUGUGUGGGGUGCAGGGCAUAGCAGAACAGAGAGACACCAGAGAGAGACAGAGGGUAACCUGUAUACUGUUGUCUCUCAGCAGGUAUAAUUGAUGUUAGCAUGGCUAGGCCAACAUUACCACUGUCCUGAACCAUGGAUCUGUCUGUGUGAGGCUGUGGUUACUUCAACAGGUAAUUACAAGGCUGCUCCAUGUCACACACACACAGACACACAGACACACACACACACCGCACACUCACAUCACACACACACGUAAGAAAAGCCUCCUCGCGUCACAAAAAAUUGUGGAAGGAGAAAUGAAUACAGGUUCUGACAGGUUUCUGGAGGAGAGGAGAGUGUUUCUACCUGCUGCAGCUUUAAACAGUGUGUGUGUGUGUGUGUGUGUGUGUGUGUGUGUGUGUGUGUGUGUGUGUGUGUGUGUGUGUGUGUGUGUGUGUGUGUGUGUGUGUGUGUGUGUGUGUGUGUGUGUGUGUGUGUGUGUGUGUGUGUGUGUGAGAGACAGAAAGAUAGAGAGGGAGAGUAGAGAGAAAUGGAGGGAGAGAGGUGAAUCAGUGUCUGUCUUCAUCAAAGAUGAGGGUCCCCAGACCGUAGGCCAGGAAACACAGAACACUGAAACUAUGCAGCCGCUUACUGGGAACUCAACACAAACAUUCUAAUGAAACAUUCUCUAUUAGGAGAAAGACAAGGAAGAACGAGAGGUGAGGUUAGAGUAGGAAUAAUUAAGAAAACAGACGGACGGUUGGAGGGC